rnacentral:rRNA from 1 species
AUUGAAUGCUGGCGGCAGGCCUAACACAUGCAAGUCGAGCGGGGCGGCGGACGGGUGAGUAAUGCCUAGGAAUCUGCCUGGUCGUGGGGGAUAACGUCCGGCAACGGGCGCUAAUACCGCAUACUAUCAGAUGAGCCUAGGUCGGAUGAGCUAGUUGGUGGGGUAAAGGCCUACCAAGGCGACGAUCCGUAACUGGUCUGAGAGGAUGAUCAGUCACACUGGAACUGAGACACGGCACAGACUCCUACGGGAGGCAGCAGUGGGGAAUAUUGGACAAUGGGCGAAAGCCUGAUCCAGCCAUGCCGCGUGUGUGAAGAAGGUCUUCGGAUUGUAAAGCACUUUAAGUUGGGAGGCGUUACCAACAGAAGAAGCACCGGCUAACUUCGUGCCAGCAGCCGCGGUAAUAC